CAACAAUUUUCUAUAGUUAACAAUUUCCUGGCUUGAAUGUGAAAAGUGCAGAAAGCGUGGGACGUAUUUCCCAUCUGAAUAUUUCAGCUGGUUGUGUUAAAAAUGGUACAUUAUCACGAAAAGUGGCGUUAUAGUACUAAAGAAAAGGUAUGAACGAUAAUUGGUAAAGCUUAUCAUAGUUUUAUUGUAACCUGAAUCUCGCGAAUGACAUGGGACAACCAACGUCCUUUUUAUAGAUAUAGAAGGCACAAAUAAUGAUGCCACUAUGUGGUAAAUACAUAGACAAGAAAUUAUUGCCAGAUUAGUUAAUCAAAUCAUACUGUUGCAAUGACAACUGUAUUUAAAAUCAUGGAACUUGCUGUACAGACAAAAUAUAGUAUAAAUUUGUCUUAAUAACAUUCAAACAUCGUAAUCCAUAUACAAACAUAGGAAUUAUAUUCACUGGAAUUGUUGAAAACAGAUAUCGAUAAAAUCAAUAGCAUCUCAAGUAAUAGUCAACUAAUUGACCAAAUAUAGAAUGCUAUACAUAUAAUAUACAGCAUAGAGCUUGCAUUUUAUGGAUCCUUGUGUUCCAUAUUCUGAAAUACUGAUUAUAUAAAAAAUUAGUGUUUCUUAUGUCCUCUGUGAUUUAUAGCAGUGGAUGUAGGAAUUAUAUUUAAUCCAACUAACAAAGUUGAUAAAGUCAUAGACGAUGCGUAUUUGUCAUCAGUCAUCAGUGCAAUCCCACUGAGGAUGGAAAGAAUGGCAAAUAGAGAAAAGAGAAAAGUAUGUACAUACAUACUUAUUACUAAUACACUUAUUCUUUCCUUAUACAAAUUAUAUGGUUGUUGUAUAUACUAUGUACAAUCAUAACUAAAGUUUAUUGUUAAUGUUAAAGAUGGCUCUUGUAUAUGCUAUGCCAGAUUGUAAAAGUAUUUACAAAUGCAACGGUAGUAUUGCCUUUUUAAAACAUCAAAAAAUUCAAACUUGGAAAUAUAUGGGAAAAAGCUAUUCCUGAUAUAAGAGAACUAAAGACAAGACACUUAAUAUAUGAGAAACAUUUUAAAGAGGAAUUUAUAAAAAAAA